rnacentral:misc_RNA from 1 species
AACGCACCUUGCACUCUCUGGUAUUCCGGAGAGUAUGUCUGUUUGAGUGUCAUGAACUCUUCAACCCGCCAGUUUCUAGUAAACCGGAUCGGUGUUUGGAUUCUGAACGCUGCUGGCCUUUGUUGGCGAAGCUCGUUCGUAAAUGAUUAGCAUCUCAUAUUCGAAAAUCGGAUUGACUCAGUGUAAUAGACUAUUCGCUGAGGACGCUUCUUCGGAAGUGGCCGAGUUUUGUAAAGUAGAAGCUUCUAAUUCUAUUAGUCAACUUUAGAUUAGACCUCAGAUCAGGCAGGAUUACCCGCUGAACUUAA